GAAGGAGGUGAUCCAGCCGCACGAGCAUCAUCAUCACCAUGACCACGACCACGACCACGACCACGACCACGACCAUCAUCAUGAUCAUCACAACCCUGGUCAUCAACUGGUUGAAGAAGAGUGGCAAGACGCCCACCAGCGCGCGCAUGCCCAGGAUAUUAACCGCCGUUUCAACGGACAAAACGUCACGACCGGGCAGAUCGCUCUGUUUGGCCUCACGGGAGGGCUUAUUCCCUGCCCGGCGUCCAUCACGGUGCUGCUGAUUUGCCUGCAGCUCAAACACUUCGCACUCGGCGCAACGCUGGUGUUCAGCUUCAGUAUUGGCCUCGCACUGACGCUGGUGGCUUCCGGGGCGAUUGCCGCCUUAAGCCUUAGGCACGCGACGAAGCGCUGGCCGAGUUUCAGCGAGUUUUCGCGAAAAGCGCCCUGGAUAUCAGCGGCACUGAUUACCCUCGUCGGGAUCUACAUGAGUCUUCACGGGCUGAGCGGGAUUUUAUCCUGAGCGACGCGGCCACCCGCGGUGGCCGCGACUGGCGCGCUACAGUGCGUUCUGAUGCCAGCUAAAGCUAUAGCAGAGCUGACGAUGUUGCAGGAUGAAUUCCGGUGAAACGCUUGGGCUCCAGGAAUCAUCACCGCCAACGCCCAUAUGGAAUGCAUCCAGAUUGAGCCAGCAGCCCGGCUCAUCGCGCAGCAAGUGCUGAUGCGUUGUCUCACGAAGCUGCUGUUGGCUGUGGCGGCUGACGGAGAAAUGGAAAUUUCCCUGAAGCACGUGCGCCCCGCAGACGAGCUCUCGGGUGUCACAGCGCAGGCCGUUUUCUGUCGGGAAAAUGUAGGGGGUCUGCAUCGCAUCGAGCGGCAACGUCCAGCGCCCCUGCUGCGCCGCCAGCUUCCUGUCCGGAUAGUUCUCGAACGGCCCCAGCCCCAGCCAGCGCACCGUAUCCGGUACCUGAGCAAACUGGACGCACAGGCCGAUACGCGCGGGCUCGGGAAUAUCGGACGCCACCUGCACCUGCACAUCGCCAUGCAGCACGCCGCAAUCGUCAAUCCGCCAGACCUUAUGGCUCAAAAACAGCGCCUUACCGCGAUACUCCCAGACGUGUCGCGUGGUCACGACCACGUCAUUAGUAUGCGGUUCCGCUUCACACAUAAGCAGGCGCGCAGACAUCUCAAUCAUUCCGGCCGCUUUCCAGCGUUCAACCCAGGCAUUCGGAUCGAUUUGCGUGGCUUCGCUCACGCCAAUGUCAUUAUCCAGCGGCGCACGGGUAAAGUUAUCCGUCAGCGGCGAGCGCAGGGUUUCAACGCCCUUGUUCCACCACUGCGUCAGAUUUCCCGAGGCGCGAUCGAACCGCCAGCGUUGCUCUCCAUGGGUAAUGUCCAGCACAUCAUCCUGCUCUGUGAAUACCGGCGGGAUCCCUACUGCCCGCGGUGGCGUAACGUACAGCGGCGUAGGAAGCAGCCACUGAUCCCACGCGCAGCGAUGAUUCGCCGGUGACCAGGCUGUUGCCUGCGGCUGGAUCACCUCCUU
rnacentral:rRNA from 1 species